rnacentral:rRNA from 1 species
AACGCGAAGAACCUUACCUGGGCUCGAACGGCUUAAGAUCAUCCUUGGAAACAGGGACUUCUCGCAAGAGACUUGAGUCGAGGUGCUGCAUGGCUGUCGUCAGCUCGUGUCGUGAGAUGUUGGGUUAAGUCCCGCAACGAGCGCAACCCUUGUCCUGUGUUGCCAUCAUUUAGUUGGGAACUCUCAGGAGACCGCCAGCGAUAAGCUGGAGGAAGGUGGGGAUGAUGUCAAGUCAUCAUGGCCUUUAUGUCCAGGGCUACACACGUGCUACAAUGGCCGGUACAAAGCGCUGCAAACUCGCAAGAGGGAGCUAAUCGCAAAAAACCGGUCUCAGUUCGGAUCGCAGGCUGCAACUCGCCUGCGUGAAGCUGGAAUCGCUAGUAAUGCCGUAUCAGAACGAUGGCGUGAAUACGUUCCCGGGCCUUGUA